GGCUUCCUUCAGAGAAACAAAGAGCAGCCCUGCUCCUGAACUUCAAGAAGUCAGAGUGGAUCUGAAAAUAUCCAGGAAAAUUUCAAACUCCCACAUGGCCACCCAAGUGCAGCAGUGUCUCCAGAGAAGAAGACUAUGAACACAGUGGGAGAAGGGAAGAACAUAUGGCUGAGACAACAUAU
rnacentral:lncRNA from 1 species